rnacentral:tRNA from 1 species
GCGAGAGUGGUGAAACUGGUAGACACGCCAGCCUUAGGAGCUGGUGCGCAAGCAUAAGGGUUCGAGUCCCUUCUCUCGCA